rnacentral:rRNA from 1 species
GACGAACGCUGGCGGCGUGCUUAACACAUGCAAGUCGAGCGGUAAGGCCCUUUCGGGGGUACACGAGCGGCGAACGGGGUGAGUAACACGUGGGUGACCCUGCCCUUAGCUCUGGGAUAAGCCUGGGAAACUGGGUCUAAUACCGGAUAUGACUCCAUGACGCAUGUUGUGGGGUGGAAAGCCUUGUGCGGCUAGGGAUGGGCCCGCGGCCUAGUCAGCGUUCGUUGGUGGGGUGAUGGCCUACCAAGGCGACGACGGGUAGCCGGCCUGAGAGGGCGACCGGCCAACACUGGGGACUGAGAUACGGCCCAGACUCCUAC